rnacentral:rRNA from 1 species
ACCCGCACAAGCGGUGGAUGAUGUGGAUUAAUUCGAUGCAACGCGAAAACCUUACCUACGCUUGACAUGUCAGGAACCUCGAAGAGAUUUGAGGGUGCCCGAAAGGGAACCUGAACACAGGUGCUGCAUGGCUGUCGUCAGCUCGUGUCGUGAGAUGUUGGGUUAAGUCCCGCAACGAGCGCAACCCUUAUCAUUAGUUGCUACGCAAGGGCACUCUAAUGAGACUGCCGGUGACAAACCGGAGGAAGGUGGGGAUGACGUCAAGUCCUCAUGGCCCUUAUGCGUAGGGCUUCACACGUCAUACAAUGGUCGGUACAGAGGGUUGCCAACCCGCGAGGGGGAGCCAAUCCCACAAAGCCGAUCGUAGUCCGGAUUGCAGUCUGCAACUCGACUGCAUGAAGUCGGAAUCGCUAGUAAUCGCGGAUCAGCAUGUCGCGGUGAAUACGUUCCCGGGUCUU